AAUCCUCCUGCCUCUGCCUCUGCAGUACUGGGAUUACAGGCGUGCACCACCAAGCUUGGCCCUCAUAUUAUCUUUUAAUAAAAACAGAAGUUGAAAGGAAAAGGAAAUACAGCACUCUACAGU
rnacentral:lncRNA from 1 species